rnacentral:rRNA from 1 species
AUCAACUUUCGAUGGUAGGAUAGAGGCCUACCAUGGUGGUAACGGGUAACGGGGUGUUAGGGCACGACACCGGAGAGGGAGCCUGAGAAACGGCUACCACAUCCAAGGAUGGCAGCAGGCGCGCAAAUUACCCAAUCCCGACACGGGGAGGUAGUGACAAUAAAUAACAAUACGGGGUCCUUUCGGGUUUCGUAAUUGGAAUGAGUACAAUUUAAAUCUCUUAACGAGGAACAAUUGGAGGGCAAGUCUGGUGCCAGCAGCCGCGGUAAUUCCAGCUCCAAUAGCGUAUAUUAAAGUUGUUGCAGUUAAAAAGCUCGUAGUUGAAUUUCGGGAUUAGUAGGUUGGUCGUGCCUCUGGUAUGUACUCGCCUUACUGAUUCCUCCUUCUUGAAGAACUGUAAUGCCAUUAAUUUGGUGUUGCAGGGAAACAGGACUGUUACUUUGAAAAAAUUAGAGUGUUUAAAGCAGGCCAACGCCUGAAUACAUUAGCAUGGAAUAAUGAAAUAGGACGUUGAUCCUAUUUUGUUGGUUUCUAGGAUUGACGUAAUGAUUAAUAGGGAUAGUUGGGGGCAUUAGUAUUCAAUUGUCAGAGGUGAAAUUCUUGGAUUUAUUGAAGACUAACUACUGCGAAAGCAUUUGCCAAGGAUGUUUUCAUUAAUCAAGAACGAAAGUUAGGGGAUCGAAGACGAUCAGAUACCGUCGUAGUCUUAACCAUAAACUAUGCCGACUAGGGAUCGGAUGAUGUUAAUUUUUUAAUGACUCAUUCGGCGCCUUACGGGAAACCAAAGUGUUUGGGUUC